AGGAUUAGCACCCCUUGGACGCCCGUUCCAUGAACGGUACCAUUUUUAGAUUAUCCUAUUGGGCUUUAAUUUUUAAUUUCACUAGAUUUCCUUAAUUAUUAUUUUUAUUUUAUCUCCUAUUUAACCUAAAAUGGAAUGCAAAUGGGUGGCGAGAUGAAAUGCAUGGCGUGAGAUAAAAAUGCCGGACAAAUGACCUUUUAUCGAGGAUAUUUUUCGAAUCCGCCCAUCAUACUGGUGGGACUCGGGAUAUUCUCUCACCUAGGGAAUUAUCCAAGAAACUCGCCUUCGUAAAUUCGACGAAUAAUUCCCGUCUUCGGGGUCAUCGUACGUUUUCUUUUUAAAAUAAU
rnacentral:lncRNA from 1 species